UACAGAGGUCCCGAGCGUUGUUCGGAUUCAUUGGGCGUAAAGGGUGCGUAGGCGGCGGGGAAAGUCUGAUGUGAAAUCCUGGGGCUCAACCCUGGGACUGCAUUGGAUACUUCCUUGCUAGAGUACUGGAGAGGAAACUGGAAUUUACGGUGUAGCAGUGAAAUGCGUAGAGAUCGUAAGGAAGACCAGUGGCGAAGGCGAGUUUCUGGACAGUUACUGACGCUGAGGCACGAAGGCCAGGGGAGCAAACGGG
rnacentral:rRNA from 1 species